AGAGCUGACUGUGCAACCACAAACUGGAAGGAACAGAGGAUUUUCCAAAGGGAGUGAGUUAGGACCUACAAUCGCCAGUCUCUCACCAGGUGGAGAAGUAAGAAGAAUGUCUUCACUGGAAGAGAGUAUCAAGAGGAUUCUCUUUAACACUUUGCCCAGUCUUUCUGUGGAGACACAAUUAGAGAUAGUUUCCACGCUUCAGACAUCUGGUGUCGAGUCUGUGGAUGACCUGAAAUACGUCCAACAGGAGGACCUCAAUGACUUGCUACCUGAUAUACAGCAAAGAAAUUACUGGAGGCCUUCAUAUUAGAAACCAAGACCAUCACUUUGGAUCUCCAAGUUAUCCACGAUGAUUCAUCGGAUUCAACUGCUUCAACUCAUCAUAACUCCUCAUUCUCAUUGUCAUCCACCUCGUCCUCACUCUCCAGCUCCCCCUCCUGCUCCCGCUCAUCACCACACCCACUACCAAAUGGUGCCAGCAGUGUACUUCCAGAUGACAUAAUAUGGCCUGAUGUAUUUGUGGAACCAUGGGACAAAAUGCCCCAAGAAAAAGUUUCAGCCAUUACAAAUGGUUAAAGACCUUCCUCCAAGUGGCGGCACCAGAUUAUCAGAGUGCUGGUGGAUGGAAUAAGAAAAUAUUAGGCAAUACUCAAAGAG